GUUGCUUAGCGAGGAGAGUAGGCGCAGGGUUGUUCCGCGAAGAAGCUCCGCUGGCGCUAAGGCUGCGGUAAAUGCCGACAAACUGACUGCAGGUGAGGUUGGUCCUCUUUCAGAGACCACAGGAGGCCUGGGAAGGCAACACGGGUUUACGUGAGCCUGAAGUCUCCCGCCCAAUCUCAGGAGAACUACAACUCCCAAGAUACCACACAGUUUGGGCCCUCCAACAUCUCUGAGUGUCUCAUGUCUUUUGUUCCCGCAGGGUGGGCCGAAGAAGAGUCGAAAAGAAAUUUGAAAAUUUAGUUCGUUAGUUUCCAAAUUGCCCCAGACAUCUAGGGGUGUUGUCUAUGAACUUUUUCACUUAGGAGGAGCCCAGUGAUUCAUGGGGAUUGUAGUCUCUACUGCCCCUUUCUCUUUGGGAGUCAUGCCACCACCUCCCCCUUCCCUUAACAGGUUUAACCGGAAACAUAUUGUGUACGGUUUCGUCGUGGCUCUUUGUUAAUGUUUUGUUUUUGCCUAUUGUUUUCAUUCUUUUUUUCAUUUGUAUGCUUUUAAAAAAAAGAUUUAUUAUUUAUUUUAGGUAUAUGAGUGCUCUCUCUGCAUAUACUCCCGUGUGCCAGAAGAGGGCAUCAGACCACAUUACAGAUGAUUGUGAGCUACCAUGUGGUUGCUGGGAAUUGAACUCAGGACCUCUGGUAGAGCAGCCAGUGCUCUUAACCACCGAGCCAUCUGUCCAGCCCAUAUGGGUGCUUUUUAAAAUGAUUUGUAUUGUUGUUGUUGUUUAAGACAGGGUUUCCCUGCACAGCCCUGUCUUGGAACUCACUUUGUAGACCAGGCUGGCCUUAAACUCCUGCCUCUUCCUCCUGGGUUCUGGGAUUAAAGGCAUCCACCACCAUUCUUGGCUACAUUACUUGGGUUUUUUUUUUUUUUCCUCGUGGAAUUAAUUGGAGCUUCAUGAAAUGGGCUUCUUGGAACAUGUUUAAAGAGGUAGAAAUUAGUUACCUUGAUUUGACUGUAACAUAUUGUAUACACGUAUUGAAAUAUCAUACUGUGCCGCAUAAACUUGUACAAUUAGUGUCAGUUAAAAACAAAACAGAACUAUGCAACAGACCAGGUUUUUCCUGAAUGGGGCUGGAAAAAGGGCUCAUUGGUUGGGAGCAGGGGCUGGUCUUCCAGAGGUCCCAGGUUCAGUUCUCAGCAUCACAUGGCUACUCACAUUCAUUCCAGGGUCUUCAAGGGCAUUGCACAUACAUAAAUGUGCACAGGCACAUGCAGGCAUAAUACUACCCAUGCAU
rnacentral:lncRNA from 1 species